CGGGAAGAGCUCAAAUUUGAAAUCUGGCGUCCUCAGGGCGUCCGAGUUGUAAUCUAUAGAGGCGUUUUCCGUGCCGGACCGUGUCCAAGUUCCUUGGAACAGGAUAUCAAAGAGGGUGACAAUCCCGUACUUGACACGACGACCGGUGCUCUGUGAUACGUCUUCUACGAGUCGAGUUGUUUGGGAAUGCAGCUCAAAAUGGGUGGUGAGUUCCAUCUAAAGCUAAAUAUUGGCGAGAGACCGAUAGCGAACAAGUACCGUGAGGGAAAGAUGAAAAGCACUUUGGAAAGAGAGUUAAACAGUACGUGAAAUUGUUGAAAGGGAAACGAUUGAAGUCAGUCGUGACCGAGAGGCUCAGCCGGUUCUGCCGGUGUAUUCCCCUCGGUCGGGUCAACAUCAGUUUUGUCCGGUGGAUAAGGACGGUAGGAAGGUGGCACCCUCGGGUGUGUUAUAGCCUGCCGUCGCAUACAUCGGGUGAGACUGAGGAACGCAGCUCGCCUUUAUGGCCGGGGUUCGCCCACGUCCGAGCUUAGGAUGUUGACAUAAUGGCUUUAAACGACCCGUCUUGAAACACGGGACCA
rnacentral:rRNA from 1 species